rnacentral:misc_RNA from 1 species
GAUGAAGAACGCAGCGAAAUGCGAUAAGUAAUGUGAAUUGCAGAAUUCAGUGAAUCAUCGAAUCUUUGAACGCACAUUGCGCCUCUUGGUAUUCCGGGGGGCAUGCCUGUUCGAGCGUCAUUAUAACCCCUCAAGCUCAGCUUGGUGUUGGGGCCUGCCAACUGGCAGCCCUUAAAAUCAGUGGCGGCGCCAUCUGGCUCUAAGCGUAGUAAUUUCUCUCGCUAUAGGGUCCCGGUGGAUGCUGGCCAACAACCCCCAAUUUUCUAUGGUUGACCUCGGAUCAGGUAGGGAUACCCGCUGAACUUAAGCAUAUCAAUAAGCGGAGGA